GAUGAACGCUGGCGGCGCGCCUAAUACAUGCAAGUCGAGCGAACAGACGAGGAGCUUGCUCCUCUGACGUUAGCGGCGGACGGGUGAGUAACACGUGGAUACCCUACCUAUAAGACUGGGAUAACUUCGGGACACCGGAGCUAAUACCGGAUAAUAUAUUGAACCGCGUGGUUCAAUAGUGAAAGACGGUUUUGCUGUCACUUAUAGCUGGAUCCGCGCCGCUUUGGCUGGUUGGUAAGGUCACGGCUUACCAAGGCGAGCAUGCGUAGCCGAAGUGAGAGGGGGGUCGGCCACACUGGAGCUGAGACACGGUCCAGACUCCUACGGGAGGCAGCAGUAGGGAAUCUUCCGCAGUGGUCGAAAGCCUGACGGAGCAACGCCGCGUGAGUGAUGAAGGUCUUCGGAUCGUAAAGCCCUGUUAUGAGGGAAGAACAAAUGUGUAAGUAACUGUGCACGUCUUGACGGUACCUAAUCAGAAAGCAACGGCUAACUACGUG
rnacentral:rRNA from 1 species